rnacentral:lncRNA from 1 species
GCUUCAUCCAGCGAGAAAGCCAUCGCCGUCGCUUUCCUCGCUCUCAGGAACACCGUGCCACACGUCGUCGUCAUGGACUUGGCGUAAACAGUGGCCCUCGCCGCCGCUCUUUCACCAGGAACAACCGCCGUCGUGGAGAUGCAUGCCACAGCAACCACCCGGUGCAUCAGGCCGGGACUUCGGCUCCAGUCGCCGCCAACGUGACCGGACCGGGAACUCCUCCAACUGCUUUCUCCAUCCCUCCGAUGGAGUGGCUGGUUGCAGGGCCAUCAGCCCCGUUCCUCGGAGAAGAGGAGUUGCUCCCAUGGCAAGCCCCGCCACCACUCCCACCGUACUGC